UUAGGAUGUUGGAAAGACUGCAAAAUUACAGUGUUGCUGUUUGCUCUAGUUGAAGACGCAUCAGUGUGUUCGUGAUGAAAACCCAUUUUCUGAGACUUUGGAACUGUCACUAAACUUGUGCAUGUUUUAAUUUGGUAUUCCAAGGCUUGCACUAAAAACAAGCGUUUUUUUUUUUUUUUUGAGGCUGAGAUUUGUCUGAGAUUCUGCUGUAGAUGGUGGAGUGCUCUGCACUUUGAAGAGGGUGGUGGUGCUUGGGUAAAUUGACUUCUUCAGAGCCAUGAGGCAAGAGAGAAGUUUUUAAAAACAGAAAAAUGUGAUUGCAAAAACACCAUUGUUGGCAGGAGGACUCGGUGGAUUCAGAUAUAACUGUAGGUGCUUCUUAUGUGAAAGAGCUGAGCCACGCCAUCCAGUAAACUGUCUAAAGCAGCAGUUGGCUUGCUUGGAAAUCAUUUCCAGGACUGUGUUGUAAGCUUCUUGUUUGUGGAUUUUUGUUCUGCGUGGUCAACUGACACACCUGGAUCACUCUCCAGGUUGAUAUCGACUGAGUUGCCAGAACUUUGCCCUACAAAGCUUUGGAGGGCCACUUCUUAAUGGAUUGCUGUAGCCUCUUAAUUUCUCCACUGAUCCCAUUCCCUGCAUCGUGAGAACGUUUUAGCCAGCACAGAACCUAGAAAAGUUACAUGUAAGUCAUCAUUCAAGUUCUUUUCUUUUUAAAGGGGAAAAAAAAAGAAAAAAGGUUUUGGGG
rnacentral:lncRNA from 1 species